UCAGUUGUAUAUAGUAUUUGUAUUUCCAUUUUAUUCUAUUUGUGGCAGGAUGAAUGUUAUCCAACUUUCCAAAUGUUGUCCAACCCACUUUCAGCCUGGCGCAUUAGGGGGCGCUAGUAUAAAUAGUGGCCAUUUGAGUGUCCCUGGAUCGCUUACCUGUGAUCUCCUUUUUGGUCACCUGACUUCCCUUUGGUGUUGCCGAGAUCAUUUGCGGGUUACUCUUCUGAAGCCUCCAUCGCGGCUGGUAGGUGUUUACUCAUUGUAGUGUGUAUAUUACCUUACUUGGUGGUAAACGGCUAUUGUUUGUAGGUCGUAGCUGUAGAAGCCUCCUCUGAGCCAUUCUGCUCACGUUUUAUGACACGGCUUACUUGGAAGUGUGGGCCUUAGUUUUACGCCAAGCUACGCGAACUGAAGUACUGCUGCUUUGCUUUGCUGUGCUUUUACCGUCUGUUCCCGUUGCGAGAUUUCUUUUCCUGCUGCUGCCAGCUUUCACUGUGGACGUCGGCGUGGACAGCAGCCAUAUGCCCGCCGGUUAUGGGAGUCAGCUGGCGUGCAUAUUGAUUGACCGUUAACUUGUAGUUGUGCAGACGGCAAGUUGGAGCAAUACGGCGAUUCCGUUUGCUCCUGAUUUUAGAGCUUUAUCCAGACUGUAUGUUGUUUUACUGUUGUUUGAUCUGUAGUUUGGAUUUUUGUUACGCCACUGGUGGGAGGCCCUUUUUCUAGCUGUAGAUCACCAGUGUGGUCCUGCAGUUGAGUUAUCCCCCAGCGUUACACAUUAGUUUGUUGUGAUAUAUUAAAAUUUUCUUUGUUUCUUUUAUUCAGAUGCGGAGCGCCGACGUGGAGGAGACUAGGGUGCCUUGGUGGUGGGAUCCUUUGCGUGUACACACCUGCCUUGUUUAGUUUAUUAGUGUGAGUGUGUGAUAGUGUGCUGCACUUGUGUCUUGGUGUGUUUUCUUUUAGUUUGUGUGUGGCAUCCCUGCCCCUCCUCUGGUAAGCCUCAGCUCUGAAUACCUUUUUAAGCAUAUUUGUACAUGAAUAUUUAUGAUUGUGCUUUUAUAUGGUGUUUUAAAUAAUUAUUAAUAAAUUGUCAAUUUGUUUAUCAUUGAA